GGAAUUGUGGCUCAGCGGUAGAGCUCUCGCCUAGAAUGUGUGGGGCCCUGGUUUCAAUCCUCAGCACCA
rnacentral:tRNA from 1 species